GAUGAACGCUGGCGGCGUGCCUAAUACAUGCAAGUCGAGCGAACGGACGAGAAGCUUGCUUCUCUGAUGUUAGCGGCGGACGGGUGAGUAACACGUGGAUAACCUACCUAUAAGACUGGGAUAACUUCGGGAAACCGGAGCUAACACCGGAUAAUAUUUUGAACCGCAUGGUUCAAAAGUGAAAGACGGUCUUGCUGUCACUUAUAGAUGGAUCCGCGCUGCAUUAGCUAGUUGGUAAGGUAACGGCUUACCAAGGCAACGAUGCAUAGCCGACCUGAGAGGGUGAUCGGCCGCACUGGAACUGAGACACGGUCCAGACUCCUACGGGAGGCAGCAGUAUGGAAUCUUCCGCAGAGGGCGAAAGCCUGGCGGAGCAACGCCGCGUGAGUGAUGAAGGUCUUCGGAUCGUAAAACUCUGUUAUUAGGGAAGAACAUAUGUGUAAGUAACUGUGCACAUCUUGACGGUACCUAAUCAGAAAGCCACGGCUAACUACGUG
rnacentral:rRNA from 1 species